rnacentral:rRNA from 1 species
GACGAACGCUGGCGGCGUGCCUAAUACAUGCAAGUCGAGCGAAGUUUUUCUGGUGCUUGCACUAGAAAAACUUAGCGGCGAACGGGUGAGUAACACGUAAAGAACCUGCCUCAUAGACUGGGACAACUAUUGGAAACGAUAGCUAAUACCGGAUAACAGUAUUUCUCGCAUGGGAGAUAUUUAAAAGUUGGUUAUGCUAACACUAUGAGAUGGCUUUGCGGUGCAUUAGCUAGUUGGUGGGGUAAAGGCCCACCAAGGCGACGAUGCAUAGCCGACCUGAGAGGGUGAUCGGCCACACUGGGACUGAGACACGGCCCAGACUCCUACGGGAGGCAGCAGUAGGGAAUCUUCCGCAAUGGGCGAAAGCCUGACGGAGCAACGCCGCGUGAGUGAAGAAGGAUUUCGGUUCGUAAAGCUCUGUUGUUAGGGAAGAAUGGAUAUGUAGUAACUAUACAUGUAAGAGACGGUACCUAACCAGAAAGCCACGGCUAACUACGUG